UUAUGGAUUCUCCCCUCUGGAACCGACCUCGCUGUCUGUGAUAGCAAUAGAAGCAGCCUCCAUGUGACUCAGUGAAGGAGAGGCGGAAUGAGAAGAAAGUAGACACUGCUCUAAGGAGGUGAAGAGGGAGCAAGCGUGUGCUUCAGAAAUCUACAGAGGAAAUGACAGGGAGCCUGUGCAGGAUGAAGGAGAAAUGGACGAUGCUCUGGUCAUUGUGGGCGAGGUGGACUAGCGGAGUGGCUCUGGCAAGCCUGUCCUUCUUCCCCUUGCUAAGAAACACACCUUUCCCUUGGGGCAUCUGCAGGUCGGGUGGAGGCUGAGCAGCUCCCGGCCUGAAUGGGAGUGAGGACAGAAGUGUACUGGAGGGGCUGCAAGAGAGAAGGCCUUCCUUGGGAGUUUUAGGCUCUGCUUUUUGAGACGAAGGUCUUCCCCAUGUGAUCCUUGAUGUAGAGACGGUCCUUGCUUGUUCAUACUGGUUUACUUGAUGGUGGGUACGAAUGCGG
rnacentral:lncRNA from 1 species